UACGAAGGGUGCAAGCGUUACUCGGAAUUACUGGGCGUAAAGCGUGCGUAGGCGGUUUCUUAAGUCUGCUGUGAAAUCCCCGGGCUCAACCUGGGAAUGGCAGUGGAUACUGGGAGGCUAGAGUGUGUCAGAGGAUGGUGGAAUUCCCGGUGUAGCGGUGAAAUGCGUAGAGAUCGGGAGGAACAUCAGUGGCGAAGGCGGCCAUCUGGGACAACACUGACGCUGAGGCACGAAAGCGUGGGGAGCAAACAGG
rnacentral:rRNA from 1 species